GAGAAGCAGUUGCCAUGUAAUACUGUCGUACAUCUGGGUUAAUGCGUCUGCAGUGCGUACGGGGGUGGGGCGGAGGCGGAAAUGAGAGCAGUUUCUCUUCCAAAAGAUCAGCAGAGACGAGGGAUAAUGGCUUUUUUGGCGCCCCAUCUCCAGAGAAUUUUUCCGAAUGCUGAAGACUGAAUAGGACAUCAGUGCUGAGGAAAGGCAUUGGGUGUGACACUGGGAGGCAGCAGCCAGGUUUAAAAUUGAGCUGGUGAGGAAGAAUUCACAGACAGGCUGGGCAGCUCUCCAAUCCCUCUGCUGUUCCCUCCCUCUGUGAUCCAAACAGAGAGGAUUAUGGGACAAUCAGCUGAUCCAAAAUCUCACCAUCGCUGAGAAAAGCCUUAAAUCUGUUCAUCUGCAGCUAUCUGAGCCACCAGGAGUUCAAACCUCAAAGAGUGUGCCAGCUAUGACCAGAAGGCCUGACAAUAGAAGCUGACAGAGAAUGCUGGAAUGACAGACCACUUCAAUAUGCGGUUUGUUUUGGUAGAAAUGUUCAAACAAUGUCAACUGUUUUCUAUUUCACAACACAAUUAUUUCUCCUGACAAUUUUUAUUUUAGUUUUUGUUUAUUGCAUUCAUAUACUGGUUCUUGAGGGGGAUUAACAAUAAAGCU